rnacentral:lncRNA from 10 species
GAUUUCCUUUUGUGUUUAUUGUUUAUAAAAAAAAUCACUUAAGAAGCUAAAUGUAAGCCAUUUCAGAGUUGCAGAUGUGCAAAAUCUUUAUGAGAAACAUUUGACCUGAUUUGUUUUACUAAUUAACAAAUAACCCUCCCCUGAAUAGUAUGUUUCACCCGACAGCACAUUUUUAAUCAAGGCAUACAUGGUAGCAAACCAAGGUUUCUAGGAAAACCAUGAAAAGUCACCUCGGCUGGAAGGCUGGAGCGUGUCACAACAAUAACACAGCGGGAACCUGGAUGAGAGGAGUGGAGAGUUAAUUUGUGGAGGGGAAUGAAUAGUCUGCUUGAUGGAAGAACAACUUUCUGCCCUGUCUGAAGAUGUGACAAAUGGCCAUGAGGAGAUUGCGCCAGGAUGGCUCCCCGAGGGGCUCAAGGGGGAAAACAAAACAGCAUGGAAUGGUGGCACAAUUGAAGAGUUUAGCAUUAUCCUGAGUAGAAGUGAAGCCACUUGUCCAUUUGGGAACUUUGGGAACUGUCAUUUUAUUGUCUUCCUACUUCCUGCUGAUGGAUUAUGGAUAUGAUGCCUGGAGUUCAGCAGCCGUCUUGCGCUGUGAGGAUGGUAGACGACAAGAUCGAAGGAUCCUGUGUACUUUUCUGAAGCUGCACUACCAGCCCUGCACUGUCCACCUCUAGGCUUCAUUUAUGUGAGUUAAGCUACUAUUAUUUUGGAUUUGAUAUCACUCUCAGCUGAACAGAAUCCUACCUAAGACAAGGAUAGAAGAAUUAUAAUUUUUACAAAGGGCUUCUUUAAGGUCGUGCUUGGAGUAAAUUCUAUAGUUCAAGGUAUUGGUAAGGGUGUGUUUGUGACAAGAUUUUGGGUAAAGCAAUCUAGUGUGAGCAUUAAGAGUGUGGGCUUGGAAGCAGAUUGGCUUUCAGUUGCUGUAGGUCCUUGGAGAAGCUCCUUAAGCUUUUUAAACUUUAGUCUUCCUGUCUAUGAAAUGGGAGCUAUAAAUAGUUCCUGGUACCUGCUGCUUCUCUUCUCAGGAGUUAUUGAAAUUCCACAGAGCUAAUACUCUAAGGCCCUUAGAGUAUACAGAUACCUUCUCUAAGUCAGGUUCCUGUACAAAGAAAUUUCACUUCAGCAAAAUUUCUUGGGCAGUUUUUUUUUUUUUUUCUUAAGACAGUCUCACAUCAUCGCCCAAGCUGGAGUACAGUGGCGCAAUCUCCGCUCUCUGAAACUUCCGCCUCCCUGGUUCAAGCAAUUCUUCUACCUCAGCCUCCCAAGCAGCUGGGAUUACAGGUGCCCACUACCACACCCAGCUAAUUUUUGUAUUUUAAGUAAAGACAGGGUUUCACCAUGUUGGCCAGGCUGGUCUCCAACUCCUGACCUCAAAUGAUCUAUCUACCUCGGCCUCCCAAAGUGCUGGGAUUACAGGCGUGAACCACUGCGCCCAACCCUUGUGUAGUUUUUCCUUUCUUUUUAGAAAUCAACAAAAUCAAGUAACCCUAGAAAUAUAACUAUAUAACUAGUUUCAUAUAUAUAUAGAUAUAUAUAUCCUUCUUUCCUUCUUUCCUUCUUUCCUUCUUCCUUUCUUCCUUUCUUCCUUUUUUGAGACAGGGUCUCACUCUGUUGCCCAGGUUGGAGUUCAGUGGCAUGAUCUCAGCUGACAGCAACCUCCACCUCCCAGGCUCAAGUGUUUCUCCUGCCUCAGCUUCCCAAGUAGCUGGAAUUAGAGGUGCGUGCCACUACUGUCCGGCUAAUUUUUGUAUUUUUAGUAGAGACGGGGCUUCACCAUGUUUGCCAGGCUGGUCUCAAACUCCUGACUUCAAAUAAUCCAGCCACCUCAGCCUCCCAAAGUGCUGGGAUUACAGGCAUGAGCCACCAUGCCCGGCCUGAAUCCCUGUUUUCAAUUCUUUUGAUCACACACCCUUAAUGGAGUUUCUGGGUCAAAUAGUAGUUCUAUUUUUUGAGGAACCACUGUACUGUUUCCGUAGUGGUUGCACCAUUUGACAUUCCCACCAACAGUGCACAGGGGUUCCUAUGUCUCCAUAUUCUCAUCAACACUUGUUAUUUUCUGCUUUUUUGAUAGCAACUAUCCUAAUGGGUAUGAAGUGGUGUUUUAUUGUGGUUUUGAUUUGUAGUUCC